AAUAGCCUUUCGAACGUGCUCUAUUCUCGAUUAGUGGGGCAGCAAAAAGUUCGCGAAUCGUAUUAGAUGAACGUCGGGGGACGCGAAAGAAGCGGCCAAGAGAAUUAGAUUGCGAGAGUCGUUAAAAUGAUUCUGCGAUUCGAAGGAGCUGCACCCUUAGGAGCGGAACGACGAGGGAGAUGGAGAGCAUUCGCGAAAGCACGACGGAGCGAGAGGACCAGACCCGGGACAACCAAGACAAGGGUAGAAAAGCUGGCGUGUCAUGGGGGGCGCGGAUGAACCCAUGUACUACUUAGGGAUGACAUCUAACUGUGGAUGUCGGGCAACGUACUUAUGAGACUUUAAAAGUUACGGUUUCACUUUGACAAGAUCCAAGAUUAAUGGAUGUUGCAGGACUGUUAGCAAACUAUUGACGUCACGUCGAUACACGUGGGAAUUCGGGCCAGCUUCGUCAGAAAACCGCGCUGAGAGCGAGCCCGGCCGACGAGGAAAGAAAGGAAGGCUCGUGGCAGAAUUUCCGGCCGGGUGGGCAGCUCGCGAGGGGGAGAGUUUCGAUCGGUAGACCGAUUCGAGAGGGUGAGCCCGAAGGAAGGUUCGCUAACGCGUCCUUUCGCGAACUCCGCCCGUAAUAGGGGCCACAGACGCGACGACUUAUCGUACGAUCGCUCGACGCGACAAGGUGCAACGAUAGUCGUACGUCGAUUUUCCCACAGACGUAAUGACCUGCCGCUGAAGGAGUAUGUUUACCGUCAUCGUUAUUAUUACACGUGUAAAAGGGCGGAUGUACCGCGAAAGCAACGAAGCUUGGGAGGAAUAAGACCUCCUCGUUUAACAACAAAGUAGCAGUGGAUAUAUUGAAUUUAUACGUUGCGUUCCAAGUUCGUAUGUCCACGCGAUUAAUACCAGUAAACGCACCGUACAACAUCGCGAUUCCAGAUACGGCUAGGCACGUCUUGGAUUUCCAGCAGAAACAUAAAAUUGAAGUAGUUUGAGAUUAUCUGGGGUCGUGAUGCAACCGUGCAGCACCUUGCGUACAAGCAAUAUAUAUGAAACGUCACUCUCCGUUUCUCAAGAGUCAUUAAAGCUGAACAAGCACGAGUAGAACGAUCAAUAUUGCGCAUUUUGAAACCUUAAUUUAUUACGACGUAGUUAUGACAGAAAAUAAUUUGAGCCUAUAGUCUUCCAUCGUCCUAUGUGCGAUACAGUAAGAUCACGAACAUCGACGAAACCUUCCACCGCGUAUUAAUACUUGGAGCGUGUUGCACCACGCCGAUUCUCUCGAUUUCGUUCACCUCUUUUCAGCACCGGUGCUCGAAAAGGACCCCGAGAGCUCCAUCGACGGAGUGCCCCGACGACCACCCCAGGUCGGUCAGCGAAAAAAAAAAAAAAAUAUCGGUUUAUCGAGGAAACCGUAAAAGCAGUCGAGCAAUAUCGGAGCAGCGUAAACCUCGCGGUCGUCCUUCCACGAGAGCUCGGCUCUCCUUUUACGGCGUGGAAGGUCGAAACGGAAAAAAGCGGUUCGUGGAAGGCGUCUAUGCCCGAUCCCCGCUCGACCGCUGCCGGAGUCGGCCACUUUGUCGGCGAGUUUAUUAUUCGUAACGGAGAAUUCGAGAGGAUCGACUGGAUUAUCGUUGGAUGCUCUCUGCUUCCCUCGCUAGAAGCCCGCGACGCACCGAAGUCCUCCUUCUCCCGGUCCUCUCUUCGUGUUGGUUCGCAGCUCGCCGAUCUCUCGACGUCGACCGAUUCGGAACCACUCGGACGGAUCGAGGAAGCGAAACGAGCUCGCGCGUUCGCGAGCGACUAGCGCGACCUUUCCCAAUCGAACGCACGAGUUCCUUUCUCGAAGACGGCUUUCAGCGAUGCAUCCUUAGGCUAGCGUGUAGCCUAACAAGUAGCAUUUGUUGGUCAGGAAUAUAGUUUACCAAGUUUGUAGUAUUUUCAGUACCGAGACCCAAGUUCAGUUUUUAAGAUAGCUUUCGAAGCACCGAGGCUGUUUUCUUUGUAGAUCCUUUAUAAAGGCCUAAAGACGUCAUCGUCGCGACGCCCCGGUGGUCUGGCUCUUUUCUUUCCCCGUGGUGACUUCACCUCGUCGUCCCUGUUUCCCACGGGAGGAACGAAAGGGGAAAACGCACGAGCGACCUAACCAGCGAGAGCGACCAAUCGUCGAGAUUUACGAGCGGAUCUGCGCGAGCUUCGCAUUCUCCGCGUUCUAUCGGCGAACGAAUCUCGAAGCUCGCGCGGGUCGCCCUUCGAUCGUCGCGUCGGUUCCAAUCGCGUCUUGAGAGAGGAAAACGAUCAGAGCCUCGACAAAAAGCGCGAUUGCCACCGUCUCGUUUCAGCUUCUUCGGUGGUUUCUUGCCAGACACCGGGAAGCUUCCAAUCCGUACGCGACCAGCUAUGGCGCGAGGUUACCGCGAUUGUAGCGAGGACAGAAGUACGCAAUCGAUAGGAAAGAGUUUAGAUAGGAUAGGAAGAGAUCUUGUGGAAAAUCAAUUUUAUAUACCGUGACAUCUUGAGGAUGGUGGAUGGGUAUAUGUAGUUUUUUAAUGAAAAUUAAGUGUAGUAACGAAAAUGUUAGUGUUUGUAGGCACAUCGCACGCGCGUACUCUUUGGGGGUUGUUCCAAAAAAGAUAAGACCACGAGGGACUUGCAGGUUACUAUUCCAUUCAAAUUUAUUAUAUUUCUUCUAACAUAUUCUUCUCCUAACCAUCUUAAACGUACUGUAGGCUGGUCUCUAACAAACUAUGGAAUCCUGCCCAUCGAAAGCCGAACAACAGAAAAAAGAAUAACCCAAUUCCAGAGUAGAAUCCUCCCUCGAGCAGUCCCACACACGCAGAGGAUUAUUGAAGGUACACUCGCGGGUUUGAUCGACCGUCUUUCAAGUUGGGCCUUCCGGCAGCUCUCCAACUGAACCUCGACCGCGGA